GGUGGGGUGGCCGAGUGGUUAAUGGCAACGGUCUGUAAAACCGUCCGACGGAAGUCGUACGCAGGUUCGAAUCCUGCCCCCACCA
rnacentral:tRNA from 2 species